AUGGCGGCGUCGGCGGUGCUGGCGGUGCUGCUGGCGUCGGCGCUGGCGGGGGCGGCGGCCGGCGGCGACAUCGUCCACCAGGACGACCAGGCGCCCAAGAUCCCCGGCUGCAACAACGACUUCGUCCUCGUCAAAGUGCAAAGCUGGGUGGGCAGCAACGAGGGCGACGAGUUCGUGGGCGUCGGCGCGCGCUUCGGCCCCAAGAUCGUCUCCAAGGAGAAGCAGGCCACCCGGGAGCCGCUCACCCUCGCCGACCCCAUCCACGCCUGCGCGCCUCCCAAAAACAACAAGGUCUCCGGAGGCGUCCUUCUGGUCGAGAGAGGGAAAUGCAAAUUCACCAAGAAGGCCAAGCUCGCCGAGGCCGCCGGCGCCUCCGGGAUACUCAUCAUAAACUCCGGCACCGAGCUGUACAAGAUGGUCUGCGAAAAGAACGAAACGGAGCUCGACAUACACAUACCCGCAGUUCUCUUGCCCAAAGACGCGGGCCAGGCUCUGCGUUCGCUCCUUGCAGCUAAUACAUCAUCAGUUGGUGUGCAGCUAUACUCUCCAGAUCGUCCCGUGGUCGAUACGGCGGAGGUGUUCCUCUGGCUCAUGGCCGUCGGCACCGUCCUCUGUGCGUCCUACUGGUCAGCAUGGAGCGCUAGAGAAGCCGUUACCGAACAGGAAAAGCUCCUGAAGGAUGGACAUGAAGUCUCACUGACUGUUGAGGGUGGAGGUUCUAGUGGCAUCGUGGACAUCAACGUGAUAUCGGCGAUGAUGUUUGUUGUCGUCGCGUCGUGCUUCCUGAUAAUGCUUUACAAGCUCAUGUCCGCCUGGUUUAUCGAUCUGCUGGUUGUCAUCUUCUGCAUCGGCGGUGUAGAGGGCCUGCAAACAUGCUUGGUGGCUAUAUUAUCAAGAUGGUUCACAUCUGCUGCGGGAUCUUUUGUGAAGGUGCCGUUCUUUGGAGCAAUCUCAUACCUUACAAUGGUGGUAUCCCCAUUCUGUGUUGUCUUUGCUGUUCUGUGGGCUAUUUACCGGCAGUUUCCCUACGCUUGGAUCGCCCAAGACAUCCUUGUGAGUGCUGCAGCCGUCUGUAGUGUCCAGGGUAUUGCGCUGAUAGUCACUGUCAUCCAGAUCGUCAGAGUGCCUAACCUCAAGGUCGGUUCAGUCCUCCUGAGCUGUGCGUUCCUGUACGACAUCUUCUGGGUGUUCGUCUCCAAGAGUUUGUUCCACGAGAGCGUGAUGAUUGCGGUUGCGCGUGGUGACAAUACGGACGAAGACGGCGUGCCAAUGCUGCUAAAGAUCCCGCGGAUGUUCGACCCGUGGGGCGGGUACAGCAUCAUUGGGUUUGGCGACAUCCUUCUUCCUGGCCUGGUCGUUGCAUUUGCAUUAAGGUAUGACUGGGCUGCGAAGAAGAAGAGCCUGCGAUCCGGCUACUUCCUGUGGUCAGCGUCGGCCUACGGCACCGGGCUCCUGAUCACGUACGUGGCGCUGAACCUGAUGGACGGGCACGGGCAGCCGGCGCUGCUCUACAUCGUGCCAUUCACCCUGGGGACUCUGAUGUCGCUGGGGUGGAAGCGGGGGGAGCUGCGGAACCUGUGGUUCAAGGGGGAGCCGGAGCGCGUGUGCACCCAUCAGGGUCAGGGCUACGUGCAGAUGGCCAAGCCUCCUGCUGCUGGUGAUGAUGAAGAUGAUGAUGAGGAUGAGGAUGAUGAGGAGGGCAAGCCAUCUUCCUCUUAG
rnacentral:rRNA from 1 species